rnacentral:rRNA from 1 species
UACAGAGGGUGCAAGCGUUGUUCGGAAUUAUUGGGCGUAAAGGGCGCGUAGGCGGCUUGGCAAGUGGAUGGUGAAAUCCCUCGGCUUAACCGAGGAACUGCCGUCCAAACUGCUUCGCUUGAGACCGGGAGAGGUGAGUGGAAUUCCCAGUGUAGCGGUGAAAUGCGUAGAUAUUGAGAGGAACACCAGUGGCGAAGGCGGCUCACUGGACCGGUACUGACGCUGAUGCGCGAAAGCGUGGGGAGCAAACGGG